rnacentral:rRNA from 1 species
AGAUUGAACGCUGGCGGCAUGCCUAACACAUGCAAGUCGAGCGGCAGCGCGGGGGCGACCCUGGCGGCGAGCGGCGGACGGGUGAGUAAGGCAUCGGAAUCUGCCCUGAUGUGGGGGAUAACGUAGGGAAACUUACGCUAAUACCGCAUAAGUCCUGCGGGGGAAAGCGGGGGAUCGAAAGACCUCGCGCCGGUGGAUGAGCCGAAGCCGGAUUAGCUAGUUGGUAGGGUAAUGGCCUACCAAGGCGACGAUCCGUAGCUGGUCUGAGAGGACGACCAGCCACACUGGGACUGAGACACGGCCCAGACUCCUACGGGAGGCAGC